UACCAGAUAACUCAACUGGUAGAGUGCCUGACUUAGAGAUUCAGGGGGCCUGGGUUCGAACCCUGGUCCGGUCC
rnacentral:tRNA from 1 species